rnacentral:rRNA from 1 species
UACAGAGGGGGCAAGCGUUGUUCGGAAUUACUGGGCGUAAAGGGCGCGUAGGCGGCCUGUUAAGUCGAACGUGAAAUCCCCGGGCUCAACCCGGGAACUGCGUCCGAUACUGGCAGGCUUGAAUCCGGGAGAGGGAUGCGGAAUUCCAGGUGUAGCGGUGAAAUGCGCAGAUAUCGGGAGGAACACCAAUUGCGAAGGCAGCUCGCUGGGACGUUACUGACGCUGAGACGCGAAAGCGUGGGGAGCAAACAGG